rnacentral:piRNA from 1 species
AGCACACACCCUACAGAUUCUCCAGA